GUAGUUAUCUGCCUCACAGUCUGGGAUAACAGUUGGAAACGACUGCUNAUACCGGAUAUACCCUAAGGGGGAAAGCUUUAGUGCUGUGAGAUGAGGCUGCGACGUAUCAGCUAGUUGGUAGGGUAAGAGCCUACCAAGGCUAUGACGCGUAACUGGUCUGAGAGGAUGAUCAGUCACACUGGAACUGAGACACGGUCCAGACUCCUACGGGAGGCAGCAGUGGGGAAUAUUGCACAAUGGAGGAAACUCUGAUGCAGCAAUGCCGCGUGGAGGAUGACGGAUUUCGGUCUGUAAACUCCUUUUAUAUAGGAAGAUAAUGACGGUACUAUAUGAAUAAGCACCGGCUAACUCCGUGCCAGCAGCCGCGGUAAUACGGAGGGUGCAAGCGUUACUCGGAAUCACUGGGCGUAAAGAGCGCGUAGGCUGGUUUGUAAGUUAGAAGUGAAAUCCCCCAGCUCAACUGUGGAACUGCUUCUAAAACUGCAGACCUAGAAUUUGGGAGAGGUAAGUGGAAUUCCUGGUGUAGGGGUGAAAUCCGUAGAGAUCAGGAGGAAUACCGAAAGCGAAGGC
rnacentral:rRNA from 1 species